ACUACCUCCCAGUGGGGAUGACCCUUCAACAUGCGUUUCUGGAAGGACAAACCGUAUUCAAACCUGAUGAGAUAUUUUUACAGGAUUUUUUUUUUCAGGCCUGGAGAUGGAACUAGGGCUUCAUGCAAGCUCGGCAAAGCUUGCACCCCCGAGCUAUACCAUGUCCUGUAACCAUAUGCAAGACACAGCACUGUCAGUGAGCACGUGGUUGCCAAAGUAGUGGAGCAGAUACUGAAUACAGCACGGCAGGGACGCCGUGAAAGAAAAUGUGUUCUGGGAGAGACCCAGCUAAUCGACGAAGGAAGGGCCAGGAUGGUUUUCCAGGGGAACUCACUGGGACAUAACCCUCCUAGUUUUCUCAGUCUUGUUGGGAUGUGGACCAGUCCUUGAUGGGUUGGGCUCAACUGCAGAGGGCCCUGAAUAACAGGUUAGGCAGUGUCGUUUAUUCUGGGGACAUGAGUGGUUGAUCCUGUCAGUCAAACGGCAUACAUGCUAUGACACAGUUCUUGCCACUAGCACCAUGCCAGAGGUCUCCUAAGUGGAAGACACCCAGCUUCUCCCGCAGGGGCAUUGUCUCUGCCCAGAUUCCUGCACGGUCGUGGACCAGGGACCAGUGCUUCCGAGUGGUAGGACAUAGGACAGGCAAGUUUGGGCAAAAGACAGUGUUGGAAGUCUAGGGCCUGGAUUAGUUUCCUAUUGCUCUGUAGCAAACAUCCACCAACAGUGCGUGUAAGCAACACACAUUUAUUUCUUACAACUCUGGAGAUCAGAAGGCCAAAAUGAGUCCUCCAGAGCCAACAAUAAGGCUGGCUCCUCCUGGAGUCUCUUAGAGGCCACCUACAUGCCUUGGCUUGUGGUCCCCUUCGUCUGUCUUUGAAGACAGUAGGAUGCCAUUGUCUCUUCCCUCUGACUGCCUUUUCCCCUCUUGUAAGCACCCUGUGGCUGCCCCUAGCCCGUAGGGUAUCCCAGGAUCGUGUCCCCUCCUGUCCCCACAUGCAUGUCCUCUCCUCACUGUCCUGAGCAGGCAUCAGGGCAGCAGCUGCAGCCGCAGGCACAGAAGUGCAGGGCUCAGUGAGCCGCCUUCUGGGCGCAACGAACUGAAACAGUCCCCGACCUCCUUUGCACCAAGGGGCCAGUUUCCUGGAACACAGUUUUCCCACAGGUGGGACAGGGCGGGGCAGUGGUUUUGGGAUUCGCUCUUCGUAAGGAGCAUGCAAUUUCAGUCCCUCACAUACGGUUCACAGUCGGGAUCCUGCUUCCGUGAGAACUUAGGCGCUGCUGAUCAGAAAGGAGCUGAGCUCAGGCCGAGAUUGGGAGCAGACGGCAGCACAGGUGCUGACCCCAAGCCUCACCAGCCUUGUUACCUAGCUACCAGGACUCCUUGUUUUCAGUGAUCUCCAUCCCAAAUAAUG
rnacentral:lncRNA from 1 species